rnacentral:sRNA from 1 species
AUAUUAUUAUAAACCCUAAAUAUUUGGAAAGGGGAGUUAAUUACAACAUAAUAGUUAUAAUGUUUCUAUAAAUUUAUUGGAAUUUCCUCUAAUAAUAAAGCACCUGGAAACUGAAGAGGAACUUAAAGUUGCUCAUUGUUGCCUGAAAGAACAAGAGGAAACUAUUAAUGAGUUAAGAGUGAAUCUUUCAGAGAAGGAAACUGAAAUAUCAACCAUUCAAAAGCAGUUAGAAGCAAUCAAUGAUAAAUUACAGAACAAGAUCCAAGAGAUUUAUGAGAAAGAGGAACAACU